rnacentral:rRNA from 1 species
AACGAACGCUGGCGGCAGGCCUAACACAUGCAAGUCGAACGCUGUAGCAAUACAGAGUGGCAGACGGGUGAGUAACACGUGGGAAUCUUCCUAUCGGUACGGAAUAGCUCAGGGAAACUUGGGGUAAUACCGCAUACGCCCUUCGGGGGAAAGAUUUAUCGCCGAUAGAUGAGCCCGCGUCUGAUUAGCUAGUUGGUGAGGUAAUGGCUCACCAAGGCGACGACCAGUAGCUGGUCUGAGAGGAUGACCAGCCAGACUGGGACUGAGACACGGCCCAGACUCGUACGGGAGGCGGCAGUAGGGAAUAUUGGACAAUGGGCGCAAGCCUGAUCCAGCCAUGCCGCGUGGGUGACGAAGGUCUUCGGAUUGUAAAGCUCUUUUGGCGGGGACGAUAAUGACGGUACCCGCAGAAUAAGCCCCGGCUAACUUCGUGCCAGCCGCCGCAGUAAGAC